AACGAACGCUGGCGACGCGUCUUAAGCAUGCAAGUCGAACGGCAACACGGGGCAACCUGGUGGCGAGUGGCGAACGGGUGAGUAACACGUAGGUGAACUGCCCACGGGCUGGGGAUAGCCGGUAGAAAUACCGGGUAAUACCGAAUGAGGUCACGGGACUAGGGUUCUGUGAUGAAAGGGGCUAAGGCCUCGCCUGUGGAUGUGCCUGCGGCUGAUUAGCUAGUUGGUGAGGUAAAGGCUCACCAAGGCGACGAUCAGUAGCCGGCCUGAGAGGGUGGACGGCCACACUGGGACUGAGAUACGGCCCAGACUCCUACGGGAGGCAGCAGCUAAGAAUCUUCCGCAAUGGACGAAAGUCUGACGGAGCGACGUCGCGUGGGUGAUGAAGGCGGAAACGUUGUAAAGCCCUUUUAUAGACGAGGAAUAAGGUGGGGAGGGAAUGCCCUGCUGAUGACGGUAGUCUGUGAAUAAGCCCCGGCUAAUUACGUGCCAGCAGCCGCCGUAACAC
rnacentral:rRNA from 1 species